AAAAUCUGCCAGUACGAUUAUCAAACAUUAAAAUAAAAUUCAAAAGAUUAAUCAAUACACCAAAAACACUUUAUCUACAAUGUCAACUUAAAGCAUGUGAUUUUUAUGAGGAUAUUUACCAAACUAAUUGAGAUAUGUAUCACAUAAUACGCCGUCGACAUAUAUCCUUGCAUAAUUCUCAUCCUCAUCCUAAUUGUCUUCGAGUUGUAUUAUAUCUAAUGGAAUAGUUGCCUAGUGAGAAGUAUCUUCUUCCAUAGGUAAGUGUGAAAGUCUCUUGGUGACGCUUGCAAAGCAACAUACCAAUUAGAUGUUUCACUCUCCCUAGAAUAGAACACUUGUUUUGCCUGUGAUGUCAAAAUGAAAUGAUCGUUUUCAAAUUGUCUAUAUCCCUCAUUAAGAUUAACCAAAGUAAAUCCAUCCUCAUUUUUUUAUUCCAUUCACGAUAUUUGUCCAAUCACAUUUUAAUAGUAGAAUAUGAAAUGCAUUGUAAUCAAGCACUAUAAUAUCAUGUAGAACUCCAUAAUAAAGAACCUUUCGAACAACAUGUGCAUUAUCUUUUGUAGUAUAUCUACAAAUGGUUGUCGCUUCAACUGAAAUGCCACCGUUUUGUCGAGACUUUUCUGCAUUUUUCGUGUGAAACUGAAGACCAUUUAUUACAAAACUAGAAUAUGACAUUGACUGGCAUCUAGGACCACACACUAGCCACUUUAAAGCAUUUGAAACAUUGUCCAGCAACAGUUGACCUUUGAUCUGUUUUUAUCAUAAACAUGCUAGGAAUAGAAGAAACAAAAACAUAAUUAAACACGUUGAAUUUCUUAUAUAUAUGUCAACCUUAUCAUUCAGCCAAGCAGCAAAAGAGUCAGUGUGUCUCUUUUGCAAUAAAUUCUCAUUUCUUUCAAGUUGUUUGUCAAAACUCUUGAGUUCAUUCAUAUACAUCCUAAGUGGAAAACAAGAUAAAAUAAAUUAAUAUGGUCUAAGAACUUAAAAUCUAACAACGUAGGUAUUUCACAAACAUACUAUAUGUAGGGUGCCACUUCAGUACUAUUAGCAACACAUAGCGUUUGGCAACUUUCAACAUCUCAUCUAGAAGUACAAUUGGCUUCCUUUUAGAAAUUGUGCGCCCUACAACCAAGAAGUUACUCUCAUAUUCUUCGUUGUGUGCAGGCCUAAUGCCUAUUUCAUAUGCCUGUUUUAUGUAACUACUACAAAACAUCGUAUUUUCUUCAAUAAUGUAUCAUUCAGCUACACACCCUUUAGGUCGUGCAGGAUUCAUAACAUAUCAUCUCAACUGUUUCAUAUACCUACAUAUUUACUGAAAAAUAGUAUAAAAUAUAAAACAAAAUUGAAAAUAAAUUUCACAUUUGGGUAUAACUUAAAGGAAUAUUACCUCUCAAAUGGGUACAUCCAACAAUAUUGGAUUGGUCCGCAUAGACGAACUUCUCUCCCAAUAUGGAUUGUGAAAUGAACCAUAAUAUCAAAAAAGGAAGGUAGAAAAUACCUUUCCAACAUGCAUAAAGUUUCAGAAACGUCUUUUUCCAAACUUUCAACAUUAUUCCUAUUUGCAACCCCUUGACAUGUUUCAUUGAAAAAUGAACACAAUUUAAAAAUGGAGUUCUCUGAUCCUUUAGGUAGAAGUCAUCUCAAUGUAACUGGUAGUAAUUGUUGCAUUAAAAUGUGACAAUCACGAAACUUGAAUCCAGCUAUCUUACAUUUUUUCACUUCACUGAAAUGCAAUUUUCGAUAUUAGAACCAUAACCAUCGGGCAAUCCCAUAUUAGCAAGUUUCAUGCAAAACAUUUAUUUUUCUGCUUUUAAUAAAGUGUGAUAGGCAGCAGGUAAGUAGAAUUUAUUUCCUCUUCUCUCAGCAUGUAAAUCAUGCUUAAUAUUCAUCGCUUCCAAGUCUUUACGAGAGUUAAUACCAUCUUUAGAUUUUCCUUUCACGUCCAAAAGUGUAUUAAUGAUGCUCUCGCAAAUGUUCUUUUUCACAUGCAUCACAUCCAAAUUAUGACGUACACGUAAAGUUUGCAAAUUAAACAUUAAUUGUGCGAUGAUAUACUACAAGCCAUUAGAAGUAUUUAGCAAACCAGAAAAAUUAUGAUUAGAGUUAUCUUCCAAUAUGGUAGCAUGAAAAAUAUUGACUUUUUCUUCCACAUUACAUUUAAUUGAGUUGUAUUCUUU
rnacentral:lncRNA from 1 species